GAUGAACGCCGGCGGUGUGCCUAAUACAUGCAAGUCGUACGCACUGGCCCAACUGAUUGAUGGUGCUUGCACCUGAUUGACGAUGGAUUACCAGUGAGUGGCGGACGGGUGAGUAACACGUAGGUAACCUGCCCCGGAGCGGGGGAUAACAUUUGGAAACAGAUGCUAAUACCGCAUAACAACAAAAGCCGCAUGGCUUUUGUUUGAAAGAUGGCUUUGGCUAUCACUCUGGGAUGGCCCUGCGGUGCAUUAGCUAGUUGGUAAGGUAACGGCUUACCAAGGCGAUGAUGCAUAGCCGAGUUGAGAGACUGAUCGGCCACAAUGGAACUGAGACACGGUCCAUACUCCUACGGGAGGCAGCAGUAGGGAAUCUUCCACAAUGGGCGCAAGCCUGAUGGAGCAACACCGCGUGAGUGAAGAAGGGUUUCGGCUCGUAAAGCUCUGUUGUUGGAGAAGAACGUGCGUGAGAGUAACUGUUCACGCAGUGACGGUAUCCAACCAGAAAGUCACGGCUAACUACGUGCCAGCCGCCGCGGUAA
rnacentral:rRNA from 1 species